UGGGGGAUAUUGCACAAUGGGGGAAACCCUGAUGCAGCGACGCCGCGUGGGUGAAGAAGCGCCUCGGCGCGUAAAGCCCUGUCAGCAGGGAAGAAAAUGACGGUACCUGAAGAAGAAGCCCCGGCUAACUACGUGCCAGCAGCCGCGGUAAUACGUAGGGGGCAAGCGUUAUCCGGAUUUACUGGGUGUAAAGGGAGCGUAGACGGCAGCACAAGUCUGGAGUGAAAUCCCGGGGCUUAACCCCGGAACUGCUUUGGAAACUGUGCGGCUGGAGUGCAGGAGGGGUAAGCGGAAUUCCUAGUGUAGCGGUGAAAUGCGUAGAUAUUAGGAGGAACACCAGUGGCGAAGGCGGCUUACUGGACUGUAACUGACGUUGAGGCUCGAAGGCGUGGGGAGCAAACAGG
rnacentral:rRNA from 1 species